GACGAACUGUGCAAACGUUAUUCGGAAUCACUGGGCUUAAAGGGUGCGUAGGCGGUCUUGUAAGUAGGGUGUGAAAGCCCCCGGCUCAACCGGGGAACUGCGUCCUAAACUGCGAGGCUUGAGUGAGGUAGGGGUGUGUGGGAACUUCCAGUGGAGCGGUGAAAUGUGUUGAUAUUGGAAGGAACGCCGGUGGCGAAAGCGACACACUGGACCUUGUCUGACGCUGAGGCACGAAAGCCAGGGGAGCAAACGGG
rnacentral:rRNA from 1 species